AAUUUUCGCCGACUUGGCAACCCAAUGUGUGUUGAUUGCCCACUUGUGAGUGUCAUAUAGCCACCUGCGUGAACAACGACGGAAGGAGCUCCAAAGACAGUGCAAUUAUUAUUAUUUUUUCAAUUAUUAUGUUGUCAAUAAAAUCUGCUAAAAUUAGGGAUGGCAACUUUCUUGCCUUGCAACUCGCGUAUUAAAGACGCAAGCAGGACGUCGAACUUCAUCCGUCACUACAAAGCUCACAGACAGGUUGAGCCGGCACAAUGGAUCAGGUGGUAAACCAGUUCAGGGUGUACCCCGCCUCCUGCCUGUUGACAGCUGGAAUAGGCUCCAGCACGCCCCGUGACUUUCGUGAGGAUAAGCGGCAAAGAAAAUGGAUGGAUGGAUAUACAGAUCCCCCACCCAGCAGAAAAACGUCAGCAUUCACAUGAGAGAAUAGGUUUGAAUCCUUUUUUUUUUGUGACAGUCUGUCAACACUGUAUUAUUUUUUUCAAUCAUUAUAGCAUGAUACGCUAAGUCAUUUUCAACAUAUUGACAAAAUAUCAAAAAUAAACUAAAGAAACCCUGGUGUGCUUUCAAAUAAUAGUUUUUUUCUUUGUCUGUGUUAAUUUAAAGUCAUUCAGAUCAUGGUAAUUCACAAGGGUUGAAUUGAGGUAACUGGAGUCUUUCUUUAUUUAAUAUUUUUUUCAUUUUGUUCCGCAGACAGAACUGUUUGAAAAAGCUUUUCGACUCAUAUAUAUGUAUAGAAUUUUAUUUGCAUGCCGGUAAU